AGGUUUGGGCCCUCUUGAUGGAGGUAAAACCCUAUGUCCUUCACUUGUUGGUAUUGAUGGUGUAAUACAAAGUACAGAGUUGAUUUAUCUUGAGAUUGGAUGUUGUGGCCUAAACCCUAAUCGUAAUGAGCUUAAUGUAUCCUACAAACUAUGGCCCCUGGUUUAUAUAGAUACCAGGUGUGUUAGGGUUACACAAACUCGGUUACAAUAGGGAAGGAAUAUGCAUAUCACUACGUCGCCUUGGAUUGUAUGCCAAGUCUUCGGAAGAGUCCAUCUUGAUUCCGAUAGUUCUAAUGACGGUCGAACAGGACCAGGAGUCCAGCCCAUGAGAACAAACAGAUGGCCCGAGGACCCCUUUGUCCCCGACUCCCUCACAAAGCUUUUUUAAGAAUUUCUACAUCAAGAGAAAUCCUAUCCAUGUU
rnacentral:lncRNA from 1 species